rnacentral:rRNA from 1 species
AAGUCGUAACAAGGUUUCCGUAGGUGAACCUGCGGAAGGAUCAUUAGUGAACGGCCCUUUGUGGCCUUGGAUCUAUCCAAACCUCUGUGAACCGUGGCCUUUGGGCCGUAAUUUUUACAAAACUACAAGUCUAGAACGUUGAACUAUUGUAACCAAAACACAACUUUCAACAACGGAUCUCUUGGCUCUCGCAUCGAUGAAGAACGCAGCGAAAUGCGAUAAGUAAUGUGAAUUGCAGAACACAGUGAAUCAUCGAAUCUUUGAACGCACCUUGCACCCUCUGGUAUUCCGGAGGGUAUGCCUGUUUGAGUGUCAUGUAGACUCAACCUUCCAGGUUUAUUGCCUGGCUGGUUGGACUUGGGCGUCUGCCGCUUUACCGCUGGCUCGCCUCAAAUGCCUUAGUGACCUGCAAAGGGGAUCUGUGCCCGGCGUAAUACGUUUCGCUAGGCCUGCCUCGACAUGGUUGCUCACAACCGCCUUCACGGGCAACUACUUUUGACUCUGACCUCAAAUCAGGUAGGGCUACCCGCUGAACUUAA